GCCAGUGUGAUAUAGUGGUUAGAGUGUUGGACUGUGAUCCUGGAGACCAGAGUUUGAUUCCCUGCUCGGCCA
rnacentral:tRNA from 1 species